UAAAAUUUUUUAUUGAGGAUAAAUUAAACUACUGUAAAAUACUGAUAGAACGCCCCAACUGGAGAAAGCACUCCCUGUAGUUUCACAUAAAUACAGAUUGCUAAUCAGUACCAAAAAACUGCCCCUUCUUUACAACGCAAUUUAGAAAAGUUCUUAUUUUAAGAAUAAAUUCAUAAAAUUUCUAAAAAAUAGUUAUCCUGGUGUUUAGGGUAGAAGAUUAGUGUUAGACUGUAAAUGAACAAUGAGUGGGGGGAAAAGGUAGAUAAUCAAUCACAGUCACUGAAUUGAAGAUUGCUAACAAAAGUGCAGUUGUUUGUUAAGUGUGGUGGGAAGAGAAGGGGAAGCAAUCCUUUUCUUCCUCCCCUCUCUUCCUCAGCUAGGAAGAAAGGCAUGUUCAACAUUUCCUCCAAGCUGCCUGUAGGUCAAGGUCCAAUGGUAUGUACACUCACUGGUAAGAAUGGGGAAAUUUUAAGGGGUGGUGAGAGAGUUGAAUGUGACAUUUCAAUUGAAUUGAAUGGAAGAGAUAAGAAGUAAGAGGAAAUUAACCUUUCUUAGAAUUGUUCUACAGGGCAAUCACGCUGAAAUUUGAAAAUAAAGGACUGCUGCAAAGUUUUGGAUUGUUGUGUUCAACUGGGGUUUGGCAAAGUUCUCGCCGUAUGCUCCGUGGACAUCAUAAAGAAGGAAAAAAAUGGCAAAACCAAAAUGUAAAAAAAG